AGGAUUUCUUUAAACAGCAGGAACCCCUAGUGAUACCUUUCUUAUUUUCCUUCCUCCUUCUCUCCAUUUUAAUGAUCUCAUUGUAUUGUUUGUGUUUAUUUGCAUGUCUGUUUUCCUAAAUAAAUAUGGAAUUCUCGAGGAUGUAUGAAUAAUGUUACUUGGGAUAUUAGAUCGAAAGAUGGUACAUAUUAGGUUCUGAAGAAAUUACCCGAAUGAAGGAAUAAAUGUAAACUACUAUGUUAAUUAGAUCAUUAUCUUUACAUUCAACAAAUACCACAUGAAAAGCAGUAGGAAUCUGUGGUAUUGCUUCUUCCAUUCUUAUUCUUUCCCACUGCGCCCCCAACCCCAUCUCAGCCAAGGCAUAAAUUUUAUUAGGGUGUGGAAGGCCGUGAGAACUGGAAGCUGUUCUGCCACUAUCAAAGGGGGCUCACCUGAUUUGGAAAAGUGAGCACUGGCAACACCCAUGCCCAACCGUGUUGUCAGUGGAAGUGAUCAUCUUGGACACAAGGUGAGUAAGAAAAUCUAACAGCUUUACUAACUAGAGGCUGCAGUCAUGGUUGGGAUAAACAUAACUCUGGAAUGGAGGCCCAAGCUAGCUACACACUUCUGGCAAACCCUGAGGCUGCACACAUGGUAACAUACUUCUCAGAAGCAGAUUUUGAUAAGAUGUGAAAGGGCCCAGAAGAAAGUAAAGUCUGCACAGCCUGCACUUUGAAGAAAAAGGAAUCCACAUCUAGAUAUAUCAUAAGCCAAUCACUGAAAACAAAAUACAAAGAGAAAAUCUUAAAAGCAACAAGAGAAAGAAAAAAACUCAUAACAUAUAGGUGAGCAUCAAUAUAAUUAAGGCUGACUUCAUAAUAAACAAUGAAGGCUAGAAUUACAUAUUCAAAGCGAUAAAAGAAAAAAAUUAGCCAACAGAAGAAGACACAUAGACAUUGCACUCAGCCCAAUUCUCGCAUGGCUUCCUUAAAAAGUUUUCCUUUUAAAACCCCUGCCUCUCCCACAAAAAAUCAAAGUGAUUAAUUUGGAUAAGAAUCUGGCUACUUCCCGUUUACUAGUUUUGGUUAAUAGUCACUUUCUUUCUACCAGAUGUUGCUCUUGUUAAUUGCACUCUGCAAGUGGUAAGCAUCUGGACCUGCAUUUCAUUACAAAACUACCAAAACAGAAUUCUAUAUCCAGUGAAACUAUCCUUCAAAAAUGAAGGCUAAAUAAGGAUGUUCCCAGAUUAAUAAAGACUGAGAGAAUUUGCUGUUAGCAAAUCUACCUUCUAAGAAAUACUAAAGGAAGACCUUCAAUGCUGAAAGGAAAUGACACCAGAUCCAGAACUACGGGAAGAAAUGUAGAGCAACGGAAAAGGGCUGGGCCAUACAGUAUGUACUCAAGAUUUAGUAGUUAAUUGACUGAUUGAACUUUAUAGAGAAGUACAGAUACAAUAUUACGGAAAUUCAGAGGAGAGAAAUUACUAACAACUUGAGCAGGUGGAAAAGCAUUGAAGCUUGGUAGAGAAGAUGGUGGAACUGUGCAGCAUUGAGACAUGUCCAGUUGGAGAGAUAUGAAGCUGGGUGAAAGUAGUACAAGAGGAGGCAACUGAAUGUACAACGGCAAAGAGAAAGAAGAAUCAGUGGAUGUGCAGAGGAAAGAGUGUGCAGGGAGGUAUGACUCAUCAAGAGGGAGCUAAAGGAUACAAAGACAGCAAACGCAGGUUAAAUUUCCUGGUGUGGGGGUGGUGGGAAUGAUAGUGGCUUGAACUACCCUACUAUAAAGUUUGGAUUUCAUCCUGUGGGUAACAGAAUGACUGAAGGUUUUUGGAGAAGGAUAUGGUGUGAUCAGAGCUGUGCUUUAGAAAGAUUAAGCUGGUGUAGAAAAAGGUUGAGAGAAGGGAAGGGAAAGAAAAGACUAAUUAGGAGGUUGUUUAAUCGUCCAGGCAAGAGGUAACUUGGGCUAGAACCAGGGAAGAGGAAGUGGGGAAUGCAAAGUAGGGGCAGACCCAAGAGAAAUUUCAGGAGGAAGCAGAAAGGAGGAUUUGAUAAUCUCUUACAUCCCUCCUCUUCUCAGGCUAGGACACAGCUCAGUAUUCAAUGCUCUCUACAAUCUGCCCCAACUACUUUGUCCAGAUUUACCUUUCCCUAAGCAUGUCAUAUGCCUCAUUCUCCAAACUGCACUGGAUCACAUUCUUUUCUUCAAAGACAAUCUGUACUUUUCCACUUACUCUCCUUUUCUUCAAGGAUAAUCUAUCUGUACUUUUCCACUUACUCUCCUUAUCUCCAAAUAUACAAAUCUAACCUACCCUUAAAAGUCCACCUCAAGUGCCAUCUCUUCCAUCAAAUGUUCCUGACUCUCCUCCAGCCAUAAUUAACUUCUCGCUCCUCUGUUCAUCCACUUACGCUUUGUGGGACAUGGUAAAUACUUCAGCUUUUUCUCCAAGUUCAGUAGAAAUCCACUUAAGACUUUUAAGCAGCAGAGUAAUAUGAUUUGAUUUACAUUUUUAAACAACCAUUUCUAUUGCUCUUUGGGUAAACUAGGUAUAGGAAUGUUGAAUCAAGACCAGGUAGGAAGCUAUUGCCCUAGUUCAAGCAAGAGAUGAUGGUGACCUGACUAAGCAAAUGGCAAUAUAUAUGAAGA
rnacentral:lncRNA from 1 species